AAUAUUCAAGAAUGGAGGUAGUAU
rnacentral:miRNA from 1 species